AUUGAACGCUGGCGGCAGGCCUAACACAUGCAAGUCGAGCGAGCGGCGGACGGGUGUGUAACGUAUGGGGUCUGCCCGAUAGAGGGGGGUAACUCUUGGAAACGGUAGCUAUCACCGCAUACUAUCGGAUAACCCAUAUGGGAUUAGCUAGUAGGUGAGGUAAUGGCUCACCUAGGCGACGAUCCCGAGCUGGUCUGAGAGGAUGAUCAGCCACACUGGGACUGAGACACGGUCCAGACUCCUACGGAGGCAGCAGGGGGGAAUAUUGCACAAUGGGCGCAAGCCUGAUGCAGCCAGGCCGCGUGUAUGAAGAAGGCCCUAGGGUUGUAAAGUACUUUCAGUGGGGAGGCGUUACUCGCAGAAGAAGCACCGGCUAACUCCGUGCCAGCAGCCGCGGUAAUUC
rnacentral:rRNA from 1 species